UCGUGAACAUGCUUUUUUGCAAGCUGAAGACAGAUUAUAGAUCAGUGCUGGCGCUGAUAUUAUACAUAAUAAACCAGUAUCACAUGAUUGCAAGUUAGAACAAGAAUCUGUUGGAAUCUCUCGUGAGCAGAUGCUGGCUGGUAAUAAGCAAUGGAUAAUCAUUCCUAUAUUAAGUCUUCUGUUGAGGAUUUUAGUCAAACAAAUGUUAGAUCAUUUGGUCAAUUACUCGUUAAUAUUCAAAGCUUUCAACUCAUUGUAGGUGCAAAUGGGAUUAUUUAUUCAGAUUAAGCUUAGACGGACUUAAAAAAUUAGAGGAAGCUCAUUGGUCUGCAAAGUCUGAGGAUGUUCUUAUGUGCAAACUAAAAGGAAAAAGUGAGGAAGAUUGUAUGAAUUAUAUAAAAGUGUUACUGAAUCAUGGAAAUAAGUUAUUUGCGUGCGGUACAAAUGGAUUUUCGCCUGAAUGCUCUUGGAGAGAUGUAAGUAGAAUGUCCUAAUUCUUUCCUAUGUUUAGAUUAUAAAAAGCAUUCUUUUUUUAAAAACAGAGUUUGCAA